GAUGAACGCUAGCGGGAGGCUUAACACAUGCAAGUCGUGGGGCAGCACGGGGUAGCAAUACUCUGGUGGCGACCGGCGCACGGGUGAGUAACGCGUAUGCAACCUGCCCUGUACAGGGGGAUAGCCCGGAGAAAUUCGGAUUAAUACCCCAUAAAGAUAUUGAGAGGCAUCUUUUAAUAUUUAAAGUUUCGGCGGUACGGGAUGGGCAUGCGUGACAUUAGCUAGUUGGUAGGGUAACGGCCUACCAAGGCUUCGAUGUCUAGGGGUCCUGAGAGGGUGAUCCCCCACACUGGUACGAGGACACGGACCAGACUCCUACGGGAGGCAGCAGUGAGGAAUAUUGGUCAAUGGGCGCAAGCCUGAACCAGCCAUCCCGCGUGCAGGAAGAAGGCGCUAUGCGUCGUAAACUGCUUUUUCAGGGGAAGAAAAUCUCGUACGUGUACGGGACUGACGGUACCCUGUGAAUAAGCAUCGGCUAACUCCGUGCCAGCCGCCGCCGUAAAAC
rnacentral:rRNA from 1 species